AUCCAACUGACGAGUCCGAAAUGGGACGAAACGCGCGUCCUGGAU
rnacentral:hammerhead_ribozyme from 1 species